rnacentral:misc_RNA from 1 species
AAGUCGUAACAAGGUUUCCGUAGGUGAACCUGCGGAAGGAUCAUUACAUAACAAACGUAUGGGGAGACAACUCCCUAAUACACCAAACCCUUGUGAACCGUUAUUGUCACCUUUGGCGUGACGAUGCCACCUAGGCAUCACACGUCAAACGGUACCCAACCAUACACCAUUUAAACACUAAUAAAGACUGAAUUCAAAAAUUAAUUGAAAUACAACUUUUAACAAUGGAUCUCUUGGCUCUU